rnacentral:lncRNA from 1 species
GACGAAAUGGCGGCGGGGCCGGGGGAGCUGGGAGGUGUCGCAGCGCGCACUCCUUGUUACUGCGCCGACUGAGGCCAGAGUGGCGGGGAAAUAGGAGGGGGCAAAGUCUGUGACGUGAAGAGAACGGCUAGCUCAUUGGCUGAAACCGAUGGAGCACUCCACAGACAGAAUUCAAGGCCAGCCUGGUGUGUGUGUAACAAGUUCCAGGCCAGCAAGAGCUACAUGAUGAGACCCUACCCAGUGAUUGUAAGAAUUCCAAAAUUCAGGAUAACAAUGCUGGUCUCAGCAUGUAGCCCUGCCUGGAAAUCCUGCCUCAGAGUCUAAAGUGCUGGGUGACAGGUUUGAGUCACCAUAAGUGCUGAAGUAUCUUUAUCCCCAGAAACAAAAAGGAGGCCCCAUCCCAUAGCUAAUAUCCGCAGAGUAUGUCUGCACCUCACUUUGGCAAACACAGCCACGCCAACCCAGCAAUGCCACUUCCAGGAAUUGAUCCUCACAAACACAGAGUGGCUCUGACACGGGAGUUAUU